CUUCCUGGGAGAGGUGAAGAAGCGUUUCCAGACCACGUAUGGUUCCAGAGCUCAGACAGCUCUUCCCUACGCAAUGAACUCAGAGUUCUCCUCCACUCUGAUGGCUCAGAUGAAGCACCAUUCCUGUCCUCCAUCAGAUCGCCUGGCUGAGACUCAGCUGCAGGUUGACGAUCUGAAAGGCAUCAUGACUUGGUGGCUCAGAGGGGAGAGAAGUUGGAGUUGCUGAUUGAUAAAACAGAGAACCUGGUCGGCUCAUCUGUGAGUUUUAAGACCACCAGUCGUAACCUGGCCAGAGCUAUGUGUAUGAAGAACCUCAAACUGACUGUCGUCGU